GCGAGCACGCGCCGGGAGAGGGCGCCGAAGGGCGGGACCGAGCAUGCGUAAAGGGCCCCUUCCGGUCGGUGACGCGCUCCCGCAUGCGCACGUGCGGGUGGUUGGGCGCGCGGAGGGCGUGGUUUGUCCCGCGGCGCGCACGUGCGUGAGGCGGCGCGUGUGGCGCCCCCCCGCGGCGGCGGCGCGAUGGAGCUGGAGGCGGCGCGGCGCGCGGUGCUGGCGGCCGUGCGGGGCACGCGCGCCGCCGACCUGCCGCGCCUGCUGCACUGGAUGCGCAACACCCAUGACUUUGAUGAGCUUGUGGUGAGUAACGAUGAUGUUGUGCUCAGAAAUAUCGCUGAAGAUUUGCGGAAUCGUUUACCCAUCGAGGCAAUGUUCACUUCAGAACAUCAAGCUGUUCAGAAAAUACACCAGCAUCCACUGCCCAUGAUUCAUGUUGAUGCAUUCCUUUAUGAUGAUGAUGUUGUUGAUUCAUUGUGUGAGGAGGGGAAAAUGAGUAGGAGCUACUGCACAGAGUGUGGCUCAUACAAAACUGCAUCUUUAGAGUUUAUUUCGCAUUCCUUUUCCCUCAUGGAACUGAAGUUUCUUUAUCACCAUGUACUGCCUGACCUGACAGGAAAGGUAGUGGUUGACGUUGGCUCCAGGCUUGGUGCAGUGCUAUUUGCGGGUUAUCUUUAUAGCUCAGCUUCCCAGCUGUAUGGAGUAGAAAUGAAUGCAGACUUUUGCCAGUUGCAAGAAAUGAUGGUUACAAAGUACGAGUUCAUUGACAGAAUAAAGGUGGUUCAUGCAGACAUCUGUACUCAGCCCUCACUUCUGCAGAAGGCUGAUGUUGUUGUAAUGAAUAAUGUCUUUGAAUAUUUUCUUGACAGACAGGAACAGGCCAGAGCUUGGGAAUUUAUUGCUUGUAAUGUAAGGAAAAGAGGGUCCUUAUUAGUGACAGUUCCAAGUCUUGAGGAAUCACUUUCAAAGCUCCAGAUAUACAGCUCAGUCAAUGGGCUGAAGAGGUGCAGCUGAACUAUGAUGUGUAUAUGGAAAAGGAUGUUGACAGAGAAGCACUUGAACAGAUUCAUUUAUACAAGAUUCUCUAGUACCUGGAAAAAUUUACUAUAUAAAAUAAUGAAGGACACCGAGGAGCCAUGGGGAAUUAAUACAGCAAAUCCAGGAUGAUGGAACUCUUUUCCUGCACUUCUUCUGUGGAUGGUAGGAAGUGUAAUAAGGGGUUAAGAAGCUGAAAAUUCUGAACAGGUGUCAUGGCUUAGCAGAGGCUUGGUGGUGGCGUAAAACACUGGAAAUUCGUAACAGAGCCUCCUCGGAGAGAAAAGAUCCACAUACGCCCACCACAUUUAUAUUUAGAUUUUACGUUCUAAGGAUGUAAAGCUUUUAGUCAGCUGAAGAAUGUUUUGGGUUUUAGCAAACAUUAACAAUCCCAAGUGCAAAAAUACUAACUUCAGAGUUUUGGACUAAGCGUGUUGUGAAUUUAGAAGCAUUGUUAAAAAGUUUGCUGCACAACUUAUGUCUAGUGUAAAUGGGAAAA